rnacentral:rRNA from 1 species
ACUACGGGUGGCAGCAGUGAGGAAUAUUGGUCAAUGGACGAGAGUCUGAACCAGCCAAGUAGCGUGAAGGAUGACUGCCCUAUGGGUUGUACACUUCUUUUAUAAAGGAAUAAAACGAGGCACGUGUGCCUUUUUGCAUGUACUUUAUGAAUAAGGAUCGUCUAACUCCGUGCCAGCAGCCGCGGUAAUACGGAGGAUCCGAGCGUUAUCCGGAUUUAUUGGGCUUAAAGGGAGCGUAGAUGGGUUGUUAAGUCAGUUGUGAAAGUUUGCGGCUCAACCGUAAAAUUGCAAUUGAUACUGGCAGUCUUGAGUACAGUUGAGGUAGGCGGAAUUCGUGGUGGAGCGGUGAAAUGCUUAGAGAUCACGAAGAACCCCGAUUGCGAAGGCAGCUUACUAAACUGUGACUGACAUUGAUGCUCGAAAGUGUGGGUAUCAAACAGGAUUAGAUACCCCUGUAGUC